rnacentral:lncRNA from 10 species
CUUGAUGGUAUAGCCGUUAAACAUUGGAACCCAGAACACAGAAUGCCCAGCAUGAAUCCUGCUGCCUCAGUUUCUUAAACUAUAAAUCAGCAAACCCAUUUCAUAAGAUUUUGGUAUUAGGUGUGAAAACGCACAGUGUCUGAUAGAGGAGGCGCUGAGUGGGCAUUAGCUCUAAUUGUUACAUUACUUGCCUGUGUCAUCAGAUCUGCUGAUAAGCACACUUUUGGUAUCUUUCCAAGUAAUGAGAAAAUUGUUGACCAAAUCAGAGCAAAGGACACUACUCCCUCUUGGUUGACGAAAACACACGUAUCAGCAGCCUUCUGUUAUGCUGUUUGGCUGUUUUCAAGCUCAACAGUGACAAAAGGGCCAGUAGCCCUGGGUGUAAUUCCUGACUCCAGCAUGUACAUGCCGUGGGGCUGUGGACACUGGCUAUAUUUCCUCCAUUCGCCUUGACAACUAACAGCAAUGAUGGUGGAUUAAUCAACAGUGUCCUCUAAGCAGUGCUCCCACAGCACACAUAAAUAUGAAGUCUACAUAAGUCUUUCAGGAUGCAGAAGAGUCACAAGGAAUGAACUGGAUAUCUGUUGUGAGAAGGAGAAUGUUACCUGUGUCUUGCAGAAGCCAAACUCUUACCAAGCAGAAAAACCAGAAUCCCUCAGAUGGAAUUUCAUUAUUGGAUCACAUUUUAAAGUCCUAAAAUACCAUUUAUGGGUAAUAAAUGUGAAUUCAAUGCUAUAUUUUGAACUGAAUGCUCUUUUGAAUUAAAACACAAGGUAGGCUCUAAACAACAGGCACAGCAAAGGACUCUUGGAUGGUGACAUGGAUAAAUGCAUGAAAAGACAUGUUUUCCUAUCAAGGAGUUUCUAUUAUUAAAUUUGACCUAUCUAAAUUUUCUUCCAAAUCAUGUUUACAAAUCUU